rnacentral:lncRNA from 1 species
AUGAGCAUGGGGCAUGAAACUGGGACACAGUCAAAAUACCUGCUCAGCUAUCACUUCCUGCCAGAGGUCUUCUCUGACCAUCUUCCCGGGCCGGAGACCUCAGCCUCAACAUUUUCUCACCAUUGCUUGCUGCUGAGUUUCACGACUAUCUGUCAUCACCUUGUGUAUCUGCUCAAGUUCAUCUACUCAGAAGGUAUUUGCAUCUCGUCCGGCCACACCCACCCUCCGCAUCCUUUCCCUCAGUCGGCGCGCCAGAUGUCUCACUUACCCAAGCCCUCCCGCCAGACCGCCUAGAGGCCACCCGGCUACGGACGGCCCCGAGAGGCUC